rnacentral:sRNA from 1 species
UUAAUAACUAACUUCGAUCAUGGUUUUC